UUCUGCGUGUACCCUGCCUUUGCGAUCCCGCUAGGGUUGUGAGGUGGGAUUUCAUGCGGAUUGGCAGUGCAUUUGCGAGUAAUGUGCGCUGCGGCUUGUGGUCAGGUUACUCGAAAUGCGAUUAGAGGACUCCUUUUGGAGAAACCUGGUUGCAUGGAGAGUGAUUCAGACUGCAUGCCUAGGGACUGGCCUACGUGCGGAGUGGUUAUUGGAGUCGUUUCCUACGUAAAUCGCAUGCGAUUUGCGUUUGUGAAUUGCUUCGGUAGCUGCUUCGUGAACUGUUCCGACCGCAGUGUCAAAGGUGCUCAUCUUUCCGACCCGUCUUGAAACACGGACCAAGGAGUAUACAGUAUGUGCGAGUCAUUGAGUUUCAAACUCAAAGGCGUAAUGAAAGUAAAGAUUCCGUAAGGUUUUGAUAUGCGAUCUCGGUUGCCUCGGUGGCUGAGAGCAGCAUAGCCCCGUCUUGACCGCUUGCGGUAGGGCGGAGGCAGAGCGCAUGCUAUGUGACCCGAAAGAUGGUGAACUAUGCUUGAACAGGAUGAAGCCAGAGGAAACUCUGGUGGAAGUCCGAAGCGAUUCUGACGUGCAAAUCGAUCGUCUGAUUUGAGUAUAGGGGCGAAAGACUAAUCGAACCAUCUAGUAGCUGGUUCCUUCCGAAAAAAA
rnacentral:rRNA from 1 species